rnacentral:rRNA from 1 species
UCCCAAACCCCUGUGAACAUACCAAUUGUUGCCUCGGCGGAUCAGCCCGCUCCCGGUAAAACGGGACGGCCCGCCAGAGGACCCCUAAACUCUGUUUCUAUAUGUAACUUCUGAGUAAAACCAUAAAUAAAUCAAAACUUUCAACAACGGAUCUCUUGGUUCUGGCAUCGAUGAAGAACGCAGCAAAAUGCGAUAAGUAAUGUGAAUUGCAGAAUUCAGUGAAUCAUCGAAUCUUUGAACGCACAUUGCGCCCGCCAGUAUUCUGGCGGGCAUGCCUGUUCGAGCGUCAUUUCAACCCUCAAGCCCCCGGGUUUGGUGUUGGGGAUCGGCGAGCCCUUGCGGCAAGCCGGCCCCGAAAUCUAGUGGCGGUCUCGCUGCAGCUUCCAUUGCGUAGUAGUAAAACCCUCGCAACUGGUACGCGGCGCGGCCAAGCCGUUAAACCCCCAACUUCUGAAUGUUGACCUCGGAUCAGGUAGGAAUACCCGCUGAACUUAAGCAUAUCAAA